AAAGUUUCAAUUUUUUAAAAUAAAAAAUCGAGUAAAAUCGGAUAACUAUUUUAAUUUUAGACGCCUGAUAAAUCAAGCUUUCUACUCAUUCGAAAUCAGAAUCAUUUUGGUCCUUUUAUAAUAUGGGUCUGAAGCAUUGUCCAAUUUUUCUAAGCGAUGUGCGACAUUGUACACAUAUUAUUUCUUCAUAGGUUGAAUAAUAUAUGUCCGUUUUAAAAAAAUUUGAAUUACAUUAUAUUCAGAAAAAAUAUAAUAUUUUAUUAACUAUAUAUAUUUUAUAUAAAUUCAAAAUAAAUAAAGUAUAAGAUCAAAUAAAAAUGAAAGAAGAAUUAUAUAUUUAUGUUUAAAUUAGGUAGAAAUAUUUUAGGAAAGUAGUUAAGGUAAAUAAGAAAUAUUGUUAGUUUAGAGAUAUUGUUUAUAUUAAAUUUGGUAAUUAAAUCAUUAAUUUUCGUUUUUAAUUAUUAGUUUUUAGGUAACUUUUCCAAAAAUUAAUGUUAUCCAAGAUCAGAAUAGAAUUAAACAUGUUAUCCAGGAUCCGAACAGAGUUAAACCGGGUAAAACCCACCCAGUUGAAUUAAUUGUUGAAUUAUGGCUCAAAUCUUCAACAUUAUCUUCAAAAAUCCCCUCCAAAAAUGUAUAUAUAGAUUA
rnacentral:sRNA from 1 species